AAGUGAAAUACGACUUCGUCGUGUGAAAUGUUUGCUGCGCAAACGUGAAAUGUGCCUUUCAGGCACGUGAAAUAUUGG
rnacentral:sRNA from 1 species